rnacentral:sRNA from 1 species
GUGAAAUUGAUCACAUACAAACAUUUACCCCUUUGUUUGACCGUGAAUAAUUUCUCCCAUCCCCUUUGUUGUCGUUAAGACAUAAAAGAACCGCGCUUAUCCCGGCGCGGUUUCUUU